UCACGUAUAGUCUAGUGGUUAGGAAUCCUGGCUUUCAACCAGGCGGUCCGGAUUCAAUUCCCGGCAUAGUGAA